UACGGAAGGCAGCAGUGGGGAAUAUUGCACAAUGAGCGAAAGCCUGAUGCAGCUAUGCCGCGUGUAUGAAGAAGGCCUUAGGGUUGUAAAGUACUUUCAUCGGGGAGGAAAAAACAAAACUAAUAAUUUUAUUUCUUGACGUUACCCGAAAAAGAAGCACCGGCUAACUCCGUGCCAGCAGCCGCGGUAAUACGGAGGGUGCUAGCGUUAAUCAGAAUUACUGGGCGUAAAGAGCACGUAGGUGGUUUUUUAAGUCAGAUGUGAAAUCCCUGGGCUUAACCUAGGAACUGCAUUUUGAAACUGAAAUACUAGAGUAUCGUAGAGGGAGGUAGAAUUCUAGGUGUAGCGGUGAAAUGCGUAGAUAUCUGGAGGAAUACCUGUGGCGAAAGCGGCCUCCUAAACGAAUACUGACACUGAGGUGCGAAAGCGUGGGGAGCAAACAGGGAUUAGAUACC
rnacentral:rRNA from 1 species